ensembl:lncRNA DAB1-AS1 DAB1 antisense RNA 1
GGAAUACGAAGGGAGAAUGAAACAAAACUGCUCCGCUUAGGGAACUUGGAAAGGAAAUUGAAAAGCUAAGGAAAUAGAGACAAACUACAUAAGUUGCUGAAAAAUCACAGCAAAUAAUUAGCUGAGGAAGAGACUCAAAUCUAUCAGAACUGCUUGACUUUUGAUCCUGAGCUUAUGCGCAUCCAGUGGGCAAGUGAGGGUGCAUGGGUUUGUGAAGACUCCAGCAGUAUGAUUGGGGACACAGGGUCUCCCUAUGUUGCCCAGGCUGGUAUCGAACUCUGUUGCCCAGGCUGGUAUUGAACUCCUGCGCUCAAGUGAUCCUCCUGCCUCAGCCUCCCAAAAUGCUGGGAUUACAGGUACAGGGUGAACUCCGAGACCAUCUCUCCUAUUCAUUUACAUCCUCAGAACUUAGCACGAUGUCUGACCAUAGUGGAUUUUCAAUAAGUAACUAUGGGUUGACAUGCAGGCUGGACAUACAGUGGGCCUCGAUUGCUUAGAAGCCAAACUGAACUCACCAAGAAAAGAAGACAGGAGAAACUUCUCAAGAGGAAUAUCUCCAAAUUGCAGGAUCGAAUACCAUAAGAGGAAUUCUGGACUGAAGAGUUAUGAAGUCAUUUCAGACACUUCCAGACAAUUUGUGUUAAUUAAAUUCUCACUGGUUGAGUUCCAUUCUACACUGGAAGAGCAUUUUUCCUGGAAAGGCUCCUCAAAAUGGUAAUAAAGGGUAAUUCUUUUAGA